CACGUAGGGCGCAAGCGUUGUCCGGAAUUAUUGGGCGUAAAGAGCUCGUAGGUGGUUUGUUACGUCUGCUGUGAAAACCUAGGGCUUAACCCUGGGCUUGCAGUGGAUACGGGCAGACUAGAGGUAGGUAGGGGAGAAUGGAAUCCUGGUGUAGCGGUGAAAUGCGCAGAUAUCAGGAGGAACACCGGUGGCGAAGGCAGGUCUCUGGGCAUUACCUGACGCUGAGGAGCGAAAGCGUGGGGAGCGAACAGG
rnacentral:rRNA from 1 species